GACGAACGCUGGCGGCGUGCUUAACACAUGCAAGUCGAACGGAAAGGCCCUGCUUUUGUGGGGUGCUCGAGUGGCGAACGGGUGAUUAACACGUGAGUUACCUGCCCUUGAUUUUGGGAUAACUUCAGGAAAUUGUGGCUAAUACCGGAUAGGAGCUCCUGCUGCUUGGUGGGGGUUGGAUAGUUUCGGCGGUUGGGGAUGGCCUCGCGGCUUAUCAGCUUGUUGUUGGGGUAGUGACUUACCAGGUCUUUGACGGGCAGCCGGCCUGAGCGGGGGACCGGCAAAAUUGGGACGAGAAUGAGGACCAGACUCCUACGGGAGGCAGCAGUGGGGAAAAUUGCACAAUGGGCGAAAGCGUGAUGCAGCAACACCGGGUGAGGGAUAACGGCCUUCGGGUUGUAAACCGCUUUCGCAGGUGACGAGGCGUGAGUGACGAUAAUGGGUAAAAAGACAACGGCUAACAACGU
rnacentral:rRNA from 1 species